GACUGUGGGCUUCCAACCUAAAAC
rnacentral:siRNA from 1 species